rnacentral:rRNA from 1 species
AUGUCGAGCUCCACUUCAGCCUCCCGCCCCUCGUGGAACCAGUAUAGUACACUUCCCAUGGAGCGAUGUCCUGACUGCCCACGCAACGCGCCACUUAUACAGUUGACUUCGAAGGAGGUCAAGAAUGGCAACAAUGGGCGCGAGUUCAUGAAAUGCGAGAGCAAGCCAAAGGGGCAUAUCGUGAAGAAAUGCACACAUUUUGAAUGGCUGGAUGACUACGUUAAGAGGAUUCAAUUCAAUGGGGCCCCAACCCGGGAGCUCAAUCUGCCGUCAGCACCAACAAAUUUGGUCUCUGAAAAUGCUGCUCUAAUAGUUGGGGAUGCAGAUCUGAAGGGGGGAUUAAAGAAGAUGAACAAGAACUUGAAGCAGAUGAUUCAACUGAACAAGCAGGCGGAUCUGAUAGCUUUAGGAUUUUGUUUUUGUAUAGUUGCUCUAGGAAUU